rnacentral:lncRNA from 1 species
UGAUUCUGUCGUCUCCUUUUAUGCUCUCGUCGAUCGUUGGUCCGAUCUCCGCCCUCAACAAUAUCCGCGCGCUCGGCCCCGGUUUGAAUCCUUUCGCGCCCUUUGGCAUGGGAAACUACUCGGCCUCCCGCUAAAUCUUUUCUUCUUCUCGAUCGUUCUUGUUAGUAUGUAAAGCCUCGAUCUUGUUUUCUGGGUUGGACCUUUUGCUGCAUACUUUCUUUAGUGGACAAGACCUUGGUUUUCCUUUGAAAACGAGAGAGCUUAGUUUCCAGUAUUUGUCUGAUCGG